UACGAAGGGGGCUAGCGUUGCUCGGAAUCACUGGGCGUCAAGGGUGCGUAGGCGGGUCUUUAAGUCAGGGGUGAAAUCCUGGAGCUCAACUCCAGAACUGCCUUUGAUACUGAGGAUCUUGAGUUCGGGAGAGGUGAGUGGAACUGCGAGUGUAGAGGUGAAAUUCGUAGAUAUUCGCAAGAACACCAGUGGCGAAGGCGGCUCACUGGCCCGAUACUGACGCUGAGGCACGAAAGCGUGGGGAGCAAACAGG
rnacentral:rRNA from 1 species